CCUGCGGCUGAGGGUCCUGACUGUUAGAAGGAAAACUAACAAACAGAAAGGACAUCCACACCAAAACCUCAUCUGUACGUCACCAUCAUCAAAGACCAAAGGUAGAUCAAACCACACCAAUGGGGAAAAAACAGAGCAGAAAAACCGGAAACUCUAAAAAUCAGAGCGCCCCUCCUCCUCCAAAGGAACGCAGCUCCUCACCAGCAACAAAACAUAGCUGGACGGAGAAUGACUUUGACGAGUUGAGAGAGGAAGGCUU
rnacentral:lncRNA from 10 species